UACGUAGGGCGCGAGCGUUGUCCGGAAUUAUUGGGCGUAAAGAGCUCGUAGGCGGUUUGUCGCGUCGGUUGUGAAAACCCAAGGCUCAACCUUGGGCCUGCAAUCGAUACGGGCAGACUAGAGUACUGCAGGGGAGACUGGAAUUCCUGGUGUAGCGGUGGAAUGCGCAGAUAUCAGGAGGAACACCGAUGGCGAAGGCAGGUCUCUGGGCAGUAACUGACGCUGAGGAGCGAAAGCAUGGGGAGCGAACAGG
rnacentral:rRNA from 1 species